rnacentral:tRNA from 1 species
GGGGUAAUAGUUUAAUUGGUAAAACGAUUGCUUUGCAAGCAUUUAAUCCGUGUUCAAUUCACGGUUACUCCA